ACUGAUUUCAGCAGUAUAUACUAAAAUUGGAAUGAUAGGAGGAAGAUUAGCAUGGCUCCUGCGCAAGGGUGACACGGAAACUCUUGUAGCAUUCCAUAUUUUU